GAUUAACGCUAGCGGUAGGCAUAACACAUGCAAGUCGAGCGGUAACACUUCGGGUGACGAGCGGCGAACGGCUGAGUAACACGUUGGUACCUGCCCUGAACUCAGGGAUAACCUCAAGAAAUUGAGACUAAUACCGGAUGCCCCAGCAAUGGGAAAGAUUUAUCGGUUCAGGAGGGACCUGCGGCGUAUCAUGCUUGUUGGUGAGGUAACGGCUCACCAAGGCUCUGACGCGUAGCUGGUGUGAGAGCACGACCAGCCAGAAUGGGACUGAGACACGGCCCAU
rnacentral:rRNA from 1 species